AGGUGUAUAUAUUUAGAAGGUGAAUUUUUGUCGAUUUGGCAGGUAGACAUUUUGGAUUUUGGCCGGUCGAGAAACUUCAAAGUUUGUUUACUUAAUCAUAUGGUUUGGGACUACCAAAAUAAACAAACAUAAAGCAUCGUUUUUCGGUUCAGUAAACCAAGUUUCUACAUUUAUCAUCGUCGUUGCACAUAGCACUGAAGAUAAACAGUUCCUUUACCAGCUCUAAAAAGAAAUUUGCGUGACGUUGUUUUCUUCAUACAGCUACCAAAGGCCUAUCGGACGUAUCGAAUUACGGCAUACCACUCGAUAAAAUUACACUGGUAGAUUAAGUGAAGCUGUUCGAUUCUCGUGCUAAGUACCAUAAAUUACAAGGAAUAGGAUAGAAUUGUGCCGCAUCCACCUCGAAACCCUUAUCUUUCGUACCCGUCAGGCGUAUAAUGCUUCACUGGAUAGCAUUAGCAAUUAUGCGUAGAUUGUUCGGAAAGUUUCACUAUGAUUUGAAAGCACCAGCACCACCAGUGCGUGGACCGUAAAGUAUCAGUAUCAUGAUGUGCUGCCUCCACUGGAUCCAGGUAAGGACUCCAUCGAUCAUCGGUGUAAGAACGUUUAUAUUGAAUGA